rnacentral:rRNA from 1 species
UACAGAGGGGGCAAGCGUUGUUCGGAAUUACUGGGCGUAAAGGGCGCGUAGGCGGCCUUCUAAGUCGAACGUGAAAUCCCCGGGCUCAACCCGGGAACUGCGUCCGAUACUGGAAGGCUUGAAUCCGGGAGAGGGAUGCGGAAUUCCAGGUGUAGCGGUGAAAUGCGCAGAUAUCGGGAAGAACACCCGUGGCGAAGGCGGUUCUCUGGGCCGAUACUGACGCUGAGGAGCGAAAGCGUGGGGAGCGAACAGG